AAUCAAUUUGGUCAACAUCUGUAUAAUCAAUUUGAUACUUGUUUCAUGAUGUAAAACGACCCAGUGAGGAUCUCUUACGCAUUGGAGAUAAGAUUCUGAUUUAAUCUCAUUAGAGUUUAGGGUUUCGGUGAGAGAAUUAACGGAAGAAGAUGCUUGAAGGAAGGCAUCUGAUUCUUCACCAUACCUCCACCACAGCAUCACCAUAAGCAUUAGGUGGAUCUCCUGAUAUAUUGGACGGUCAGAAACUAGACUUUUGUUAUCUUCAACUUUUGAAGCUCUCAGUGGGCCUUGGUGUUAGUGGUGAUAUGGAUGGCGCUGGUUUUUAUAUGAGUGGUGGUGGUGUUGAUAUUGCUGGUGGCGGUGACUCUGGGAUUGUGGGGGCAGUAGUGCUUAUUUUUCAAAUUUUAGUCGACACUAGACACCAUAGUGCACAGUUCAUAACCGGAAAAGGAAAAAAUAUCGGUACAAGUAAUUUGUAUGAUUGCUUUAGUUUGUUUUUGUUGUCUGGGAAUGUUCAUUCCAGUAUUAGGAACGGGAGGUGGUGGUCAACUUAAGCAUACAUAACUUUUGCAGUUUAUGGCAUUCUUGGCUGUAGAAUUUACAAUAUUCUUGGACCAAGAUAUACUCUUUUUGUUGGUUAUUGUACUUAUGGUUUAUAUCCAGGUGCACUUCUUAUUAUAAUCAUUAUAAACAUCAAGCUUUUGAUCUUUUUGCUGUUUUGGGUAUUGGUGUUGUCUUUUUUGGGAUGGUCAAGGUGCUAUUAUGACUUCAUAUCCUCCUCGAGAUGGGAAAGGACCUUGUACUGCCAUAUUCUGGAGUAUUUUCAACAUAGGUGGUACUAUCGAAAGGAGGUUGUUUCAGUUACUGAUGGGUGAUAUAGAAGAGGCAGCACUGAGGUUGCUAUGGGCGAUCAUCUAUCCAUUCUCGUGUUAAAGCCUCUGGAGGAAUGAUCAUCCAUCCCUUCACAAAAACAGAUACUAUCAAGAACAGGGCACAUGUUGCAAGGAUUUUUUUGAGUACUAAUUAUACAUGAAGAGAUCGGAAGAAGUUGCAAUUUUUUCCAGAGACCUGACAGAAUGUAAAUUCUUGGCAGGAUCUACAUAAAAAUGUUAUUUUAGUAAUGAUAAAAGAAAGUUGAUCUCUCUAAAUUCCUUAGUAUAUGAAUUUUUGUUAUUCGUCUU